UACGUAGGGUGCGAGCGUUAAUCGGAAUUACUGGGCGUAAAGCGUGCGCAGGCGGCUUUGCAAGACAGAUGUGAAAUCCCCGGGCUCAACCUGGGAACUGCAUUUGUGACUGCAAGGCUAGAGUACGGCAGAGGGGGAUGGAAUUCCGCGUGUAGCAGUGAAAUGCGUAGAUAUGCGGAGGAACACCAAUGGCGAAGUCAAUCCCCUGGGCCUGUACUGACGCUCAUGCACGAAAGCGUGGGGAGCAAACAGG
rnacentral:rRNA from 1 species